rnacentral:rRNA from 1 species
AGAGUUUGAUCCUGGCUCAGAAUGAACGCUGGCGGCGUGCUUAACACAUGCAAGUCGUACGAGAAAUCCUUAGCUUGCUAGGGAGAGUAAAGUGGCGCACGGGUGAGUAUCGCGUGGGUAAUCUACCCUUGAAUUCAGGAUAACACUUCGAAAGGGGUGCUAAUACUGGAUAAUAUCCUGAUGGUUUCGGCCAUAAGGAUCAAAGAUAGCCUCUACAUGUAAGCUAUUGUUUGGGGAUGAGCCCGCGUACCAUUAGCUAGUUGGUGGGGUAAGAGCCUACCAAGGCAACGAUGGUUAGCUGGUCUGAGAGGAUGAUCAGCCACACUGGAACUGAAACACGGUCCAGACUCCUACGGGAGGCAGCAGUGAGGAAUUUUGCGCAAUGGGGGAAACCCUGACGCAGCAACGCCGCGUGAGUGAAGAAGGCUUUCGGGUCGUAAAGCUCUGUCAAGAGGGAAGAACGUGGGAGAUGGUAAUACUGUUUUCUAUUGACGGUACCUCUGAAGGAAGCACCGGCUAACUCCGUGCCAGCAGCCGCGGUAAUACGGGGGGUGCAAGCGUUAUUCGGAUUUAUUGGGCGUAAAGAGCGCGUAGGCGGUUUACCAAGUCAGAUGUGAAAGCCCUGGGCUCAACCUGGGAAGUGCAUUUGAAACUAGUAGACUUGAGUAUGGGAGAGGGAAGUGGAAUUCCUGGUGUAGAGGUGAAAUUCGUAGAUAUCAGGAGGAACACCGGUGGCGAAGGCGACUUCCUGGACCAAUACUGACGCUGAGGCGCGAAGGCGUGGGGAGCAAACAGGAUUAGAUACCCUGGUAGUCCACGCAGUAAACGGUGAUCACUAGGUGUAGCGGGUAUUGACCCCUGCUGUGCCGCAGUUAACGCAUUAAGGA